GAUGAAGAACGUAGCGAAAUGCGAUAAGUAAUGUGAAUUGCAGAAUUCAGUGAAUCAUCGAAUCUUUGAACGCACCUUGCGCUCCUUGGUAUUCCGAGGAGCAUGCCUGUUUGAGUGUCAUUAAUAUAUCAACCUCUUCAGCUUAUGCUUGUUGAGUGUUGGAUGGUGGGGGUUUUCUGGUGUCUUAUGAAGUCAGCUCCUCUGAAAUGCAUUAGCGGAACAAUUUGUUGACCGUUCAUUGGUGUGAUAAAAAUAUCUACGCUAUUGACGUCAGUCAGUUCAGCUUCUAACAGUCCAUUGACUUGGACAAAUUUUUCAUUAAUGUGACCUCAAAUCAGGUAGGACUACCCGCUGAACUUAAGCAUAUCAAUAAGCGGAGGA
rnacentral:misc_RNA from 1 species